rnacentral:rRNA from 1 species
AUACGGAGGGUGCAAGCGUUAAUCGGAAUUACUGGGCGUAAAGCGCGCGUAGGCGGCUUGGUAAGUCGGAUGUGAAAUCCCCGGGCUUAACCUGGGAAUUGCAUUCGAUACUGUCAGGCUAGAGUGUGGUAGAGGGAAGUGGAAUUUCCGGUGUAGCGGUGAAAUGCGUAGAUAUCGGAAGGAACACCAGUGGCGAAGGCGGCUUCCUGGACCAACACUGACGCUGAGGCGCGAAAGCGUGGGGAGCAAACAGGAUUAGAAACCCUAGUAGUCC